GGCUACAGAACGAACGCUGGCGGCAUGCCUAACACAUGCAAGUCGAACGAGACCUUCGGGUCUAGUGGCGCACGGGUGCGUAACGCGUGGGAACCUGCCUUUAGGUUCGGAAUAACUCAGAGAAAUUUGAGCUAAUACCGGAUAAUGUCUUCGGACCAAAGAUUUAUCGCCUUUAGAUGGGCCCGCGUUGGAUUAGCUAGUUGGUGGGGUAAAGGCCUACCAAGGCGACGAUCCAUAGCUGGUCUGAGAGGAUGAUCAGCCACACUGGGGACUGAGACACGGCCCAGACUCCUACGGGAGGCAGCAGUGGGGAAUAUUGGACAAUGGGCGAAAGCCUAAUCCAGCAAUGCCGCGUGAGUGAUGAAGGCCUUAGGGUUGUAAAGCUCUUUUGCCAGGGAAGAUGAUGACUGUACCUGGAGAAUAAGCCCCGGCUAACUUCGUG
rnacentral:rRNA from 1 species